AAAAAGGUGGAAUGCUACCAGUUGCGCACUGGAGCUGAUCUAAUAGACUGGCCCCUUCCCUCAAAUUUUCGGGCGUUGUACCUAGAGUAGGUAA